GACGAACGCUGGCGGCGUGCUUAACACAUGCAAGUCGAACGGAAAGGCCCUGCUUUUGUGUGGUUCUCGAGUGGCGAACGUGUGAGUUACACGUGAGUAACCUUCCCUUUACUUUGUGAUAACUUCAGGCAACUGGUGCUAAUACCUGCUACGAGCUCCUGCUGCUUGGUGGGGUUUGGACCUUUUCGGCGGUUGGGGAUGUACUCGCGGCUUACCAGCUUGUGGGUUGGGUAGUGGCUUACCCAGGCUUUGAAGGAUAGCCGGCCUGAGAGGUUGACCGGGCACAUUGGGACUGAGAGACGGACCAGACUCCUACGGGAGGCAGUAGGGGGGAAUAUUGCACAAUGGGGGGAAGCCUGAUGAAGAAAUGCCGGGUGCGGGAAGAAGGCCUUCGGGUGGGAAACCGCAGUAGGCUGUGACGAAGCGGGAGUGACGGUAAUGGGUAAAGAAGCACCGGCUAACUACGUG
rnacentral:rRNA from 1 species